UUUAUUUUGUAGGGUAAAUUGGUGAUUGAGUUUCUUCAUCCUAUUCAUCUCUAAACACGUGUAUUCCACUUUCAAUUUAUAUUUUUUUACUGCCACACUCCAAUAGUCCAUUCUAGAAACUAUUCUGAUCAUCAUCCUUCAAUUUGAUCUCUUUGAGAUGUUUUAAUUUGGUUCCAAGUUUUCUCGGCUAAUUUCUCUAUUUCUCAAUUAGUUUGAGUUUUCUGCUUUCUUUUCUUUGUUUAAUCACCACUGCUUCUUACAUGACUCACUUCUUAGUUUUACUGUUUUUAUAUAGCCCUCCAUUGAAUCUAUGGGUUCUGGUAAGGAUUUUUACUCUUUUUCUUUUUGCUGCAAGAUUUAUAGUAAUUGCAACAGUCUCUAUUUUGAGCCCUAAAUCCCUCCUUAAGAUGUUAAUGGAAACUUGUGCAAUUUGUGUCCCCUCGGAGGGCAUCCGAUUGAAAAGAAUAUAACUUGUGAAAUUGGUUAGUUUGGGAACAAGGUGUGGGUCUACUGUGUUUUCUGAUAUAGUAAGUUUUUUUCAAUUCUUUCUUUGAUUUUUGCCUUUGUUUCUUGGUAAUAAGAAUUUGGUGGAUAUUUGUUAGUUUUUCUAGAUUCUCUUGCAUAGGUUCUUGCUGGAUUUUGUAUAUGCAUGUCACUACUGUUUCUUAUUUACAGAUGCAUGUUUGUAUAUAGAUGUCUAGGUGCAUGUUUGAGAUACAUAAUUGUUUCUAAUUUUAAUUGAGUAAGAUUGGUACUUUCAACUGGAGCCCAAGCUCCGUUCUUGAAGCAGUGUCAUUGGAUUUUACCAUCGCUCUCUUGGCAUGAUUAUUCUUUUUCUAUAUUUUUUAUGAAGUAAACAAAGAUAUUGAUGCAAUGGCAUUGGAAAAGAUAAGGUUACCCGUUUGUUGCAUUUGAUUUGGUUUUCUUUCCCAUUAUCAGAUCUUUCAGUUCAAUUGGCUUCCAGUUACCGAUGCCUAUAAGCACUGAGCACAAUCAUCCUCUAUUGUUAACUAUGUCUCUAUUUCUUGGCCAUUAGACAUUCUCUUCUAAUGAUCACCCUAUCUGUUUUGCAUGGUUUUUGGUUUUUCUUUAGCUCUACUACUCUUUCCAAUAAGCUUCAACUUGCCUCAUUUUCUUUUGGCCUACUGCUUGGUUGAUUCACUGAGUCUGCACAUGCAUGCUCUUAUAGUUGACCAUUUUUUUGUGAAUUUUAUUUUAGUGAUUUUUUCAUGUAACAUGAGAGACAACAUUGCAAUGAUUAAAUUAUAUACAUGUUACAUAUGUUUUCUUUAUAUGACACAGAAUACGUGUUUGGAGAAAAGUCACUGUUAGAAAGUCAAGCUUUCUUUGUAAGGUUCAAGAGUAAAAUCUCAGCUUUGUAUACUUUCUAAGUUUAAAGAUUGAGCUUUCAGGUUGCUUACAUUUCCCAAGGAUGACAGCUAAUUUGUAUACGCAUCCAAGUUCAAAGGCUACAACUAUCCUGCAGGAGUUCAAAGACCUUGAGGUCAAAUUAAAUGAAUCAUGACAUAAUGGAUUUUCAGCCUCCAUAGAGAUCACUCUCAUGGAAAUCAACAAGAAUCAACUGAACACAUUUCUCAAUCCAUCAACUGAAAAUGGUAAUUCAAGAAGUCUAUUUUGCAAGCUUACAAUUUAGUAUAUAUAAUACAUUUUGGGUAGCUUAUAGACUUUGUUUCUAUGACUUAUCUUCAAGACUUCCUAACUUAGAUUGCGCACAUCCUUAAAUCUUAGCCUUCUCCGGUUUAAAGUUUCGAGCUGAUGUUAAAUUUAAGUAUUUAUGCUAACACAAUUUGAGUUCUAUUUUCGUCUGUUUUGAUAUACAAUGAAGUAGUUAUGUCUAUAUGUGUCUGAGACCAAAUGCAAAAAGAUUUCAAGAAAUAUUAUAGACAUUGCAAAACAGAAAGACUUAAUCGUUCAAUGGCCGUGACUAUGUCCUAUCAUAGAUUGAGAAAGAUAAAUUUACUCUUUUUCAUCAAAUGAAUUGUCUCAAUGCAAAAUCAAGUAAAUUUGCAUCUAAUGUUGUUGAAUCGUUGAUAAUGUGGAUUGGAAAAAUGAUGACAAUUUAAAAUUACAAAACUGUAACUUCAUUGCAAUCUUAAGGAGGCCAGACAAACGAAACAAGCUCUCUUACCAUGGCUAUGGCCUCUCACUUUUAAAUUCAUUCUUUUGCACUUCACAUGUUAUUUAGAAAAUGGUAUACCCUGCUUCUUGUUGAGGCUUUGCCUGCAAAGCUACUCAGUAAUGGAAAGGAGAGAAAUAUCAUGCAAAAUUAAUUUUUUGUAGUGGAGAAGGAAAAUGGUGACUUUGUACCACUGUUGCUGCCUUUCUUCUUGCUGCUCCGUGUUUAUAGUUUCUGCCUUUGUAUGAAUAAUGAACUAAAAACGUUUUAUUAAUUGUUAUAUUAUAAUUUUAUAUUUCGUA